rnacentral:rRNA from 1 species
UACGAAGGGGGCAAGCGUUGUUCGGAAUUACUGGGCGUAAAGAGCGUGUAGGCGGUUUGGUAGGUCCGCUGUGAAAACUCGAGGCUCAACCUCGAGACGCCGGUGGAAACCAUCAGGCUAGAGUCCGGAAGAGGAGAGUGGAAUUCCUGGUGUAGCGGUGAAAUGCGCAGAUAUCAGGAAGAACACCCGUGGCUAAGGCGGCUCUCUAGUACGGUACUGACGCUGAGACGCGAAAGCGUGGGGAGCGAACAGG